CGCGGCCUAUCAGCUUGUUGGUGAGGUAAUGGCUCACCAAGGCAUCGACGGGUAGCUGGUCUGAGAGGACGAUCAGCCACACUGGGACUGAGACACGGCCCAGACUCCUACGGGAGGCAGCAGUAGGGAAUCUUGCGCAAUGGGGGAAACCCUGACGCAGCAACGCCGCGUGGGGGAUGAAUGCCUUCGGGUUGUAAACCCCUUUCAGCAGGGACGAAAAUGACGGUACCUGCAGAAGAAGCUCCGGCCAACUACGUGCCAGCAGCCGCGGUAAUACGUAGGGAGCGAGCGUUGUCCGGAAUUAUUGGGCGUAAAGAGCUCGUAGGCGGUUCAGUAAGUCGGGUGUGAAAACUCAAGGCUCAACCUUGAGACGCCACUCGAUACUGCUGUGACUUGAGUCCGGUAGAGGAGUGUGGAAUUCCUGGUGUAGCGGUGAAAUGCGCAGAUAUCAGGAGGAACACCAGCGGCGAAGGCGGCACUCUGGGCCGGUACUGACGCUGAGGAGCGAAAGCAUGGGGAGCAAACAGGAUAAUCGUCGAC
rnacentral:rRNA from 1 species